GCCUGGGUGGCUCAGUGGUUGAGCAUCUGACUUUGACUCAGGGUGUGAUCCCGAGGUCCCGAGAUUGAAUCCCGUAUCAGGCU
rnacentral:tRNA from 1 species